CACAUUGAUACAGCCACUCCUGAAAUACUGCAGGCCCCGAGUCCCUCACAGCCACGUGCAGCUGGGAAAUGCUCAGAAAGAGGAUGGGGUUGUAGGGAGAGAAGAAAGCUCUAAUCUCCAUGCCUCUCUUCAGACAGGUGCUGCAAAUGCAGACGAGUCACUCAGGCCUCUCCCAGUCUCUCCACCAGACCUGGGGUUCCGAAGGGCAGGCCCCACCUCAGCAGCCUCCCUGGAACUUGUUGGAGAGGCAGCUCCUGGGCCGCACCCAGCCCUCCUGACCCAGAAAGCCAGGAUUUGGAGCCAGCUGUCUGCAGGAACAGGCCCUGCAGGUGCUCCGCACUGCUUAAGAACCUCUGCCCUACACAGAAGAGGGUUUCUGGUAUUUUGAUUUUUAAAAAAAAAAAUUUUUAAACACAAAAAAUGGCCGGGAGUGGUGGCUCACGCCUGUAAUCCCAGCACUUUGGGAGGCCAAGACAGGGUGAUCGCUUGAGGCCAGGAGUUCGAGACCAGCCUGGCCAACAUGGUGAAAC